UACGGGGGUGGCAAGCGUUGUCCGGAAUUACUAGGCGUAAAGGGCAGGUAGGCGGUCAUAUAAGUUAAUCGUUAAAGACCCGUGCUCACCAUGGGGAGGGCGGUUGAUACUGUAUGACUGGAAGCGAGUGGGGGAAGACGGAAUUCCUGGUGUAGCGGUGGAAUGCGCAGAUAUCAGGAGGAACACCAAAGGCGAAGGCAGUCUUCUACGCUUGUCUUGACGCUAAACUGCGAAGGUGCGGGUAUCAAACAGG
rnacentral:rRNA from 1 species